CAGAUAGCAAGAUAUAUACAAUGAAUGACAGAUUGAUAGAUCGAAAGAUAGAUAUAAACACGUAGCUACAAAGACAGCUAUAUACAUUGUAUAUAGAUAAAAAGAAAGAAUGAUUCUUUGUGGUCAUUAUCGUACUUGUCAGUGUACCAUUCUUGUUCGGAAUUUGUUGAUACCACACAUAGUUCACACACACACACACACACUUAAAAAGAUCUUCAAGACAUAUUGCGCUUAAAA
rnacentral:lncRNA from 1 species